CGGGUGAGUAACACGUGAUAACCUACCUAUAAGACUGGGAUAACUUCGGGAAACCGGAGCUAAUACCGGAUAAUAUUUUGAACCGCAUGGUUCAAAAGUGAAAGACGGUCUUGCUGUCACUUAUAGAUGGAUCCGCGCUGCAUUAGCUAGUUGGUAAGGUAACGGCUUACCAAGGCAACGAUGCAUAGCCGACCUGAGAGGGUGAUCGGCCACACUGGAACUGAGACACGGUCCAG
rnacentral:rRNA from 1 species